AACGAACGCUGGCGGCAUGCCUAACACAUGCAAGUCGAACGAGACCUUCGGGUCUAGUGGCGCACGGGUGCGUAACGCGUGGGAACCUGCCCUUAGGUUCGGAAUAACUCCCCGAAAGGGGUGCUAAUACCGGAUAAUGUCUUCGGACCAAAGAUUUAUCGCCUUUGGAUGGGCCCGCGUUGGAUUAGCUAGUUGGUAGGGUAAAAGCCUACCAAGGCGACGAUCCAUAGCUGGUCUGAGAGGAUGAUCAGCCACACUGGGACUGAGACACGGCCCAGACUCCGACGGGAGGCAGCAGUGGGGAAUAUUGGACAAGGGGCGAAAGCCUGAUCCAGCAAUGCCGCGUGAGUGAGGAAGGCCUUAGGGUUGUAAAGCUCUUUUACCCGGGAUGAUAAUGACAGUACCGGGAGAAUAAGCUCCGGCUAACUCCGUG
rnacentral:rRNA from 1 species